ensembl:lncRNA
AGUUGAGGUGCUGUGGUGUCUGGCUUUCCUCACGGAGUUCCUGUCUGAAGCGUUGAGCUGGAGGCCUCUGCUUGCGGCACCCUUUGAACAAGUGAAACUAGACUAAGCACAAAAGAAAAGAUGUUAAAAUAUGUGGACAAAGAAUAUUGCCUGCCAUAUCAGCAAAGAAUAUUGCCCGCCAUAUCAGCAAACAAAGAAUGUUGCUGCCUUCAAGUCAUCAGCCACUGCAGCCACCCCUCAUGGUGAAUGUUGCCAAAGUGUUGCUCUGAUUUGUCACUAUAAGACCGAUGGAAGGAAGACAAGUCAUCAUGCAUGGGUGAUUUUUCAUUAAAGUAGA